CGUAUAAGAACACCCUAAGUUUACUUUAAAUAAGACUUUGAGAGAGGCUGCUUUACGGCAAAUUAUUCUCACAAAUAUUUGCCAAGCUAUUUAAUGUUGAGAAGGAGGAAGUAUCGCUUGAAGUGCUUGAGUUGUCAAAAUCGUUCUGCAGCCCUUAGUUGCUUUUUUUUUAAAAAAAAAAAUAAUUCUAUAGGUGAAGACAAUUGGAUGAAACAGUAGUUUACGACAGUUUACAGUAUUAAAAUCAAUCUGCACCAAUCUAUUCAACAAUGAUUCAAGACCAUUUUCUCCAUUUCACAUUGAGCAUAUAUCCACUUCUUUUGAAACAGGUAAUCCUGUCAAAAAGAAAAACACCUUAAAUGUGGUAUUUUUUUGAUGUGUGAAUCUUGUAAACCUGAUUACCAUAAAGGCGAACACAGACCAAGAUGGAGAUUGUACGGAUAUUAUUUAUUUUCGUGAAUUUUACAAAUUUGACGCCUAGCUAAGUGUGCUUAUGCUGUCCUCCUCAAUAUGAACUUGUUUGGACUUCUUAUUGACCGUAAUAUCAACGUUGGUUAUUCAAAUCUUCUUAAAAUAGAAGUUACAAAUUACACCUAUCAUAUUAAUUAAAUCUACUUGCUGAUGUCGAAAAUCAAGCGAAAUAGCUGCAAAAGGAAGCUAAAUUUGGACGAUCAAGUCGAAGUCAUUAAGACCACUCCUGAUCUGAUCAAAAAUUGUAGGGAUGGUUCUUAAGUUUAAAAAAGUUUUAUUUUUUUAAACUAAAACAUUCCAGCGCCUUUUUUUAACCUACUAUCCCAAGUUGUGGUUGCCGAGGCUUUUCCCCGGACAUACCAAACAGAGGUUUUUUCGAUGAG